rnacentral:lncRNA from 1 species
AACAAGUGACUUUUGCUAUCUCCCAUAUCACAGGUGAAAAGAUGCAGGUGUACCGGGAAGCUGCCAAACACGUGAGAGUCAUUCUGGUCUCCAAAAAUCUGCUGGAAUCUGCCCAGGCAGGCAGAACAAGACUUCCUUCGUUCAAGAAUUCACCAUUUGCUCAGAUUGCACAAGGAGCUGUGUUCCACCAAAACCUACUGUGUCUCUCCCCACGUUGCUGCUUGCUGCCAUUUUGUAGCACAGCCUGCACCUUCUGUAGGGGCACAUUGACUUCUGACUCUUCACACUGGUCCUCACUCAGGAUCCAGCUGACGGAGUGUCCCAGACAGAGCUACCGCAUGGCCCAUAAGAAACUUGUCCCUUUGGCACUGACUCUCCCCCUUUGCAAUUUCACUUGGAAUUCUGUUGGUUUGUCUACUUGCUUCCCAGCUGGGAAGCAGAAAACGCGUCCUGACAGCUGUGGGUGAGCAGGUCCCAUCUGAGAGAUUUUGCAGGUCCCAUCUGAGAGACUUUGGCAGCUCUCAUGCCAGAGGCUCCUCCAGCUCCAGUGCUGGGCACCGUUCACUCUGUGCCCUAGAUCUAUCUUUUGUCCCUUCCAUUCCUCGUCGCCCCUGUGCUGUUGGGUGCCACUCCAGCUCUCAGGCACAGCUGGGUUAAGAGUUGCUGCAUUACUUGUUAGCAGACCCUGAGAGCGAGGACAGGCUGGAACAUAUCCUUAUGAGGGAAUAGCCAAAUACGAAAUGUAUUCAUGCGAGCUGCUGAACUAACCAGUUCUUAAACCUCUUAGCAAGUGCUUUCUGACAUGGCACAUCACUAACUUUUCAUCAGGUUUUACUAGUGCAGAAUUAAACUCCUUGCAAUUAUCUAGGUGUGUUAUAUCUCCACGUUUACCUGUACAAACCUGUAAUCCAAAAUGAUGAAAUAAGAUUUCUUUGGCAAUUCUUAGAAAACCACAGUAAGACACUGUGUGCCUACCAUCAGUUCUUUGAGUGUUGUCACCCCCUGUUAUCUCCACUGGUAGUCUUUCCAUUCUCCUGGUCAGAGUUAGUGUGUAUUUAUCUUUAUCUGUUUUAUAUACUAGUAUAACAUAAGAGCUUUUCCAGUCUUCUGGAAUUCCCCCAGUGCCUUCAAAAUCCAGGCCUGUGAAAAAGAAGGAUCCUCAGCCAACUCUUCCACCUCACUUGGAGUUGACUGACAUCUCAACAUGUCAGGGUAGUAGCGUCUGUCUCAAUCAUCUUCUUCAGUUACCAUCAAAGAAUAAUUCCUCUCCACUUGAUAUGAGCAAAUAAUCCUGCUUCUUUCUAGAUACAAAAUAAAUAAUAUUGAACUGCUCUGUUUUAUUGGCACUUCUGUCUUUCAGUUCUGAUCCAUCUACCUUUCUAAGAUGCUUUGCUCUUCACAGACUUCUCUUCUGCUGUUAGCCUCAGCAGGACAGUAUGACGUUUAGGCACAUCAAUGUUUGUGUUCCUCAUGUUGCUGCACCAGAGGAGCAGGGCAGCUGCUCCCUCAGAGGUAUGAUGAGGCCGAUGACAGCUGCAGGGAAGAGCAGGCCGUGGAGCAGCUUUUGCUCACCACCCAUUGCUGAUGGCUGUUAAUCAUUUUGCUGAUGAUAACCUGCUCACAGGCUAAUGCGGGCUUUAAAAUGAUCGAUGACUCACAGUACUCUAUCUGGCAAAGAUAAGUGCUUUUUCUCAGGGUGAGUGCAACCUGCCCUGCGCUCAGAUUGGUGCGGCAUGCCUUUCCAUAUGAUUGCUGGGUGCCUGAUGUGCAUCAGCUCAUGGUGCUCUGCCUCGGUCUAAAAUCAAUCUUAUGAGCAAUGUUUAGACCCUGCUGACCUAAGACCUCUGUCAGGCAGGUGUUCAGGGAGCAGUGUGACCCACAGCAGUGCAGUUACCUUCUGAAACAGGUAGUGCUCACAGGCAAAGGCAGAACCCCAGGGCUCAGCGCUAUCUAGGCAGCAGGGCCAGGAGCUACCUGCCCAAGCUGGCUUUGCCUCAGGACCCCAGAACUGCACAUUGGCUCAUACAUGCACAUGAUGAGCAGCAGGGUGUUAAAGAGCAGUAGAAGCUCUUGCUGUGCUUUUAGUUGCCGAGUGUUCCUGAUUUUCUCCAUUUCUAUCAACACCAGUGCUACACUAGGACUGUGUUCCCUGAUCAUCAGGGAGGAUUAUCAUUGCCCUGAUCAACAUCCAUUACAAUCAAAUGGGAAAUAAGAAUUUAAACAAAACAACGACAACAAAAAUUCAAAGCCAGACUUCUCAUUACAUUCUGCUUCCUCUGAUAUUCUAAAUGUUUCAGGUUUCAUUUAAAUUGAGCUUGUUUCUCCUCUUGCAUAUGUUUUGUGGCAAUCCUUUCAAUAGCUUUACUUCUCCCUGGCGUCAGAGACAUUUCCAGGGAACGCAGGUCUAUUUUUUCUGCGUUGCAAGGCUGUAGCAAAACUAGAGUGUGGGAAGCAGGGAAAGCUAAAAUUACGCCUUGUUUGUCUACUUAGUGCACAAUUACCCAGCGGGCUCCAGACACCCUGGCGCAUUUUGCUGUGGAUUGCGUGCAUGGCUCCUGCAGGCAGACCUG